CCUACAAUUUUCUCUCUCUGUAAAACUUCCUUUGUACGACAUCUUUUCAAACUCUGUAAAUUGAGUGAGUUCGUUAUGCCCAAUAAAAAAACUACACUUCAUUCAUGCAUAACAAGGUACGAUCACUCAAUUUCAUGGAUCAAAUUUGCAUUAAACUACAUGUUUUCGAUCCUAGUAUUUUUCAUGUCGAUCGAAUAGUUUUUUCUCAAACUCUGUGCUCAAUGUGCAUUUGAACUGCCUAUUAUAUUCUUUUGCAAGUUAAACCUAUUAAGGUUUAUUUGUUUUGUCCUAAGAAACUUCAUUCUAUUUGGGAAGGAUUUAGAUUCCCAUACUUAGCUAUUUCUAAAGUUCCUAUAGGAUCCUUGUUAGAAUAUGCGAGAUUCCUUCGCUCUGAGGAAGCCCUAGCCUACUUGGGUUUUGCGCUAUGAAGAGGGAAGCGUUGGUGUCCUAAGAAAUUCAGAACCAAAGCUUUGGACCUAACCCCUCUCUCGCAACCUUACGAUUUUAACACCACCCCUUUAGAAUCUAUUGAUAGUAUUAAGAAUUUCUGUCCCGAUUAUUUUGUAGGGGUUUGCACACCAUAGUUUAAAGCAAUAGAAUAACAAAUCCAAAAGCAACCAGGCUAUUCGCACAAUUUACUAGUUGUGGCGUUUGCAAACAUGCGGAAGGAUGUACAUAAUCUAAGGAGAGCUGUAGCGAUUUAUAAGGAGGAAAGGAAAAAGAAACCACAGAAGAAAUUUGAGGAACUUGACAAAGAAUUUGAAACGAAGGUCGCGAAGUUAGCAGAUCUAGCAGCUGGAAAAAGGUAUUACCACGUCUCGUACGGUUUUAUUAGAACCUUUGCCACCAGCUGCGUUCUACAAAAGAAAACAGUGCUUGCGUGUGACUUAGAAUUGAGCGGCGCUAUAAGGGCUGUCUGCCGACCUUUAUCACGAGGAGCCAAACAAGUUCUCAGAGGACUAUCAUCCUUUGGUGGAAAUUGAACGCAACCAGCUGCCGCUUGUGUAUUGAUGGAUUUCACCUGAUAUUUUGGUUAAGUACAUGGAAGAACAAUUUGACCGCGUGCGAUCCAAGUUUGAGUUACCAGGCGAGUGUGAAUUGGAGUUGGAGGAGCAGAAAAAAAAUAUUUACGGCGAGAUUGAAAUGGAAACUAUGAAGGCUGAAUUAACCAGGGGAGAUGCAGAAAAAGCCGCAAAGCUGGCGAUGGAGGUUAAUGCUUUUGACCCAGCAUGUUUUGUGAAUGUAGCCCCUUUUGCGCAGCACGAACUCCUCAGAUCCAAGAGCCAUAUAAUAGAAAGGGGUUCGACUCAAUUUUUUAACGAAGAGCUAAUCAGCUAGGCAUCAAAGAAAGGAUUGCUGCAACUGCUCGCGAAUCUAGUGGAGUAUAUAAAAUGUGGAGAUUCUCAGAGUUUUACGCCAACCUACAUACCGAGAAAUGAAUUGAUAGUGUCUACGUGCGAGUCAAGAGAAUAGAUGCUAGUCCAAAGGCAAUAACAAACAUUUAUCACUGAGAGAGAUGCUAGACCUCCCAUACAAAAAGUCCCUGGAGUCCUGUGAAUCACUGGAUUCCGCAAUCGAUGAACAAUUAAUGUGACUAUUUUCUGUUUUUGCAAGGAGCUGCACCAUUGAGCCAACAAUAAAUUAUCUUGGAAAAUCAUCAAGGGAGAAUACAAGCCAUUGAUCAAAUGGGCUGCCACCAGGAACUACUGCAUGUCGCAUUUCAUAAAGAUUGGAGCAAAAAACCUAUUCGUGGUGGCGAAACUCAUGCAAUCAACCAGUAACCAUUGUCGAAAUCCCAGUUGAACAAGCACUAGUUGAUCUGCCAACAUCAUCACCCCUGGAAUUCCACCACCGAUGGCUCUUAUCGAUGAACUUCCCACUGAUGCUGAAAAGAAAAACACCAACUUCAGGACAAGCUAUGUAGCUAAGGAAAAAGAAGGCGAAAAAGGCUGAUUUACCACUUGUUCUUCCCUCUCUAUUGCGAAGGCUGAGUAGUAAGGAAAUGGGAGAAAGUUCAGAAACAUAAUCGGAUGAUGAAUUUGCAGUAGUUGAAAAACCAUCGUCGUUGCAGCCCAAGGAAAAAGGAAAGGGAAAGAUGAUAGAAGCCGCCACCCGUAUUUCCGAACUUGUAGCAGUAGCCACCCAACGUAAAAAAAGAAUAGUUAUUCAAGAGCCAUCAUUACAACCCCUCAGUCAGCCAUUCCUAGAGCCUGUUCGUCCAAAGCACCAAUAUUAAUCCUAGGAAUAGGAUGAUAUGUUGACCUUCAAACAACUGGGGAUGGACGACAAGGAUCUCUAGCCACCACCAGCUCAGCAGGAAAUAGUUACCAUUUCACUGCCCAUGCAAACCAUUAGCCAUGACACUUAGGAAGAAACAUCACAAUCACCAUCUGAACAUGGAGAUUCCUUGGAUGAUUUUGUGGUAGAGGCAAGAAGGCUUGAGGAGGAAGCCAAGCGCCAGGAGCAAGAAGCAACACACCUUGCAGAAUUAAGAAAGAAGGAGGAGUUGGAGGCCAAAAAACGAUUGAUUAUGCAAAAGAAGAAGGAGGCCAAAGAAAGGAAAUAAAAAAAAAAGAAAGAGGAAGAGAGAUGCGAGGCCGAGAAGAGAAGAAAAUUUGAAAUUGAGAUGAAGUCCUGAUGAUUGAAGCUCAAAUCGUGGCUACCUUUGAAAUAAUGGAAGAAUUCUUUGCUUGGUGGGAGGAGAAAGAUUGGUUGGCAAGCGCCUAUGAACAAGUCGUGCAAGAUAUUCGCACCAAGGAAGCAUAUCAGCGCGUGCGCGAAGAAGAGGAAGCGGCUGCUACUUACAUUUCUAUGCCCAUCAUCAUUUCGCCAACUGAUGAAACUCAAAAAAUGCAGACAACAUUCCCCUAUUCCUCGCAACUAACUCAAGGAACGGACAUAGAUGUGGAUAUUACUGGCUCGCAACCAAAGACUACAACACAUGCGCUAACCCAUGUGAUGUAUCAUUGUAGGCUCAACUGGAGGGACUCAGAGGCGAGGUCAAUGAUUGAAAGAAUGGUGUGAACACCAGGCUGAGGAUGAUGAAAAUAGACCUCUCCAUGCUAGUCCAAUAUUUCCGGACUUGGCUUGGGUAUCCCCAAUGAUUGAUAGUAAUCCUUAAAUUGAAUUUUCGAAGUACCACACAUGUCUUUUUGUAUGACUAGAUUGAUCUUUUUGACAGUGUAUCUAAUUGUCCUAUCUUAACUGUGUGUCUAUGACUUUAAUCGCAUUUAAUCCUUA